rnacentral:rRNA from 1 species
AAGUGGUAGCAAUACCAUGAGUAAAGUGGCGCACGGGUGAGUAACACGUGACUAACCUACCCUGGAGUGGGGGAUAACUGAGGGAAACCUUAGCUAAUACCGCAUAAUACCCACGGGUCAAAGGAGCAAUUCGCUCUGGGAGGGGGUCGCGGCCGAUUAGUUAGUUGGCGGGGUAAUGGCCCACCAAGACUGUGAUCGGUAUCCGGCCUGAGAGGGCGCACGGACACACUGGAACUGAAACACGGUCCAGACUCCUACGGGAGGCAGCGGUGGGGAAUUUUGCGCAAUGGGGGAAACCCUGACGCAGCAACGCCGCGUGGAGGAUGAAGUCCUUCGGG